GGCAGGCCUAACACAUGCAAGUCGAGCGCUACCUUCGGGUGGAGCGGCGGACGGGUUAGUAACGCGUGGGAACGUACCCAGAUCUAAGGAAUAGCCACUGGAAACGGUGAGUAAUACCUUAUACGCCCUUCGGGGGAAAGAUUUAUCGGAUUUGGAUCGGCCCGCGUUAGAUUAGAUAGUUGGUGGGGUAAUGGCCUACCAAGUCUACGAUCUAUAGCUGGUUUUAGAGGAUGAUCAGCAACACUGGGACUGAGACACGGCCCAGACUCCUACGGGAGGCAGCAGUGGGGAAUCUUGGACAAUGGGCGCAAGCCUGAUCCAGCCAUGCCGCGUGAGUGAUGAAGGCCUUAGGGUCGUAAAGCUCUUUCGCCAGAGAUGAUAAUGACAGUAUCUGGUAAAGAAACCCCGGCUAACUCCGUGCCAGCAGCCGCGGUAAUAC
rnacentral:rRNA from 1 species